rnacentral:rRNA from 1 species
ACGGGUGAGUAAUAUAUCGGAACGUGCCCUAGAGUGGGGGAUAACUAGUCGAAAGACUAGCUAAUACCGCAUACGAUCUAAGGAUGAAAGUGGGGGAUCGCAAGACCUCAUGCUCCUGGAGCGGCCGAUAUCUGAUUAGCUAGUUGGUGGGGUAAAAGCCUACCAAGGCGACGAUCAGUAGCUGGUCUGAGAGGACGACCAGCCACACUGGGACUGAGACACGGCCCAGACUCCUACGGGAGGCAGCAGUGGGGAAUUUUGGACAAUGGGGGCAACCCUGAUCCAGCAAUGCCGCGUGAGUGAAGAAGGCCUUCGGGUUGUAAAGCUCUUUUGUCAGGGAAGAAACGGUUUUAGCUAAUAUCCAGAACUAAUGACGGUACCUGAAGAAUAAGCACCGGCUAACUACGUGCCAGCAGCCGCGGUAAUACGUAGGGUGCAAGCGUUAAUCGGAAUUACUGGGCGUAAAGCGUGCGCAGGCGGUUGUGUAAGACAGAUGUGAAAUCCCCGGGCUCAACCUGGGAAUUGCAUUUGUGACUGCACGGCUAGAGUGUGUCAGAGGGGGGUAGAAUUCCACGUGUAGC